rfam:Fistulina hepatica ATCC 64428 unplaced genomic scaffold FISHEscaffold_253, whole genome shotgun sequence.
GGACCCUUGGUGUAGUGGCUAUCACAUCUGAUUCCAGAAGUGGAAUAUCCAGAAGGUCAUCCGUUCAACUCGGGUAGGGUUCA